GCAGUGAAUUUUUGUAGAGAUGGGGUUUCGUUAUGUUGGCCAAGCUGGUCUUGAACUCCUAGGCUAAGCAAUCGGCCUCCCAAAGUGUUGGGAUUACAGGCAUGAGCCACUGCACCAGGCCACACAUGCUUAUCUUACUCAGUCUUGCCCCUGAAUACCCAGAAGGCCUAAACUUAGGAAAAAGUCAGGGGAGGGAUGAGUUUAUCAUUCUUUGCACUCAAGCACAAAGUGCUUUGGAGUCGUUAUAUUUGGGUGAGUGCUUGCACUAUGAGUAGGAUAUUAUUUAGAAGCUGAGUUGUGUGCUGAGCAAAUACUUCUUUAAAAAUCAAAGCUGUAUGAAGAGAUCUGUUCUAGAGUCACAGUGUGGCUAAAUAGUGUGCUAUAAGAUAAGCAUAGGGCUCCUGAGGUGGUGCUGUUCUCCCACUGUAAUGAGUUUACUGUUCUUGCUAAGGAAAGUGAUCCUUUAUCAACCUCUCCUCUCAAAUGAACUGGCUUGUUUCCUGAGUGUGCCUUCAUGGAACCAUGUCUCCUCUUCCCUCAGUUCUCUCCUUCCCUCCCUUAUGUAUGACUCCUCCCAUAAUGCACACACAUGGAUUGAACCAAGUGAGGAUAUUUAUCUGCUUCCUACCUCAUAGAAGGGCAUAGAGUGGACAGGGUCUAAGGUUAGUUCCUGAACUGAGCACCCACACAUGCAGAACUUUAUUUAAAGCUGCUGAAACUUUUGUAUAACAGAUAGAUCAAUAGGACUGAAAACUGAUGGUUUUACCUGCUUGUUGAACGUGAUUAAGUUCCAUGGCACCAUUUUAAAAUUGUGCUGUAUAGUUUUUGUAUGUUGCUUAAGAAGCAGUUUAGCCUAAUGGUUAAAAGCAUGGUCUCUGGAACUAGAUUUCCUCUGUAUGCCUCAGUUUCCUCAUCUGGGAAUAAUAAUAGUUCUACCUCAUGGGGUUGUUAUGAGGAUUAAAUAAUUUAAUUAAAUGAUUUCAUACAACUCUGAAUUGUACUUGACACUUAGUACUCAAAUAUUAACUGGGCCCAUCAUUAUCAUUACAGAUGUUGUUUACAAGCACUUGCCUUUGAGAUUUGUUUAGCUUUUUUAUUAAAUUAUGAGCAGCAUAGUAGAACAAUACAUAGGCUUGGGCCUGGAAUCAGAUUCUAGCUUUGCCUGUUACUAGUUUUGAAACUUUGAGUAAAUUACUUGAUGUGUCUGAGUUUUAAUAUUCUUAUAUGUAAAUUAUUUUUUAAAAGGAUUUUGCUUAGUGUUGAUAUACACACAUUUAACACAGUUAUGGAAAUUAUUAUUUUUACUAUUGUCAUAGAUAAGAAAUUAGCCCCUGGGUUGCUGGAGGGUGGUAAUGGUUAGGCAAACUCUCUUUGAAGUCUGCUUGAUCUGGCCUCUUGCAGGCAUGUACUCCGAAAUAUUUUUCAAAUGGAAAAGAAGGCAGAGAACACAAUUUUCAAAAUAUCUAGAGGCCUCCGAGAAGUCUUUGUAGAGAUCUAUAAAAUCUCAAGGCAAUUUAAAGGACAAGAAUCUCCAAAGGUUAAAAGGAAAACAUACUGGCACUGCCCAAAGAGGACAGCCCUGUCAUUGGUGGUACGUGGACAUCACCGAGUGACACGCAGCAUCUCCUUCAUGUGUGAUGGGCAUGGGGGCCAGAGCUAGGCUGCAAAUUCUCCUCUGGAAGACCAUUGUGUCAAAAGAGCAGGCUGGACUCAAACUCCUGGGCUCAAGUGGCACCACUGCACCCAGCAAAAACCUUAACAGAAAGGAAAUAAGCCAUGGCUACUAAAAAUUAAGAAUAGUUAUUAUCCACAAGAGGUGCUCGCUGCCUCUUCGCAGAAGUGAUUCUCAGCCAGAGACCUCAGUAUUUGGAGAAGAGACCUCUUAUCUAUUCCCCAGGGGUCUCAGACCAUUCAAAUCAAAGGAGAACAGUUGAUAACCUUAGAAUUAAUGGAAGGAGUGUCUGCUAAGCAAACAACCACAGAGAGAUGUUUUCUUUGAAAAUUCAGCUUUAUUAUUUGGCCAUGUUAUGAAUCGGGCUGCCUUGGGAAGUAGUGAGUUUCCCUUCCCUGGACUCACAGAUUCAGACAUCAGAUGGCUAGAUGGACUGCACGACUUUGAAGAACCUUUCCCACAAUGUCUCUGAUUCUAAAGCAAAGCCUGCCCAGAAUUACAAAGUGUCACAAUGCCUGUGGGCAAUAGAGCAGCAGAGACUGGGCUUCAGCCAGAACACCUAGUUCUCUGGGAGCAUAAUAUCAGCCUGGAACAUCUUGCACCUUGAAUGGUGAAGCUGUGUCUUCUAAGACUUUCAUAAAAAGGUGAUCCAUGGAGCGCGUUACUCAGCAAUGCCCUCGUUUAUUCUCUCUUUUCAAUUCUAAGACCUAAGAAUGGAAAGCACUAAGGGAAUGUCAGAGUCACACAAAAAGGGAAGGGCCAGAAUCCUGGUUUCCAGUCAAGGCUGAACCUCCAGCUUUCCCUCUCUAUAAACAGAUGGAGUUGUCUUGAGCUGAAGAUACUUUCUAACUACUUUCUGCCCAUAGCAACAGUCCAAUAAAAACCUUCACUGAAUAGAAACUCAUGUGCAAUAUUAGAGCAAGAUGAACUCAGAAUAAGACAGAAAAGAAACUAAAUAAAGAAGAGAAUGGCAAAAGAGCAGAAAAUAAAGAACUGAAGAGGCAAAGUAGAGAAAAUAAGAAAAUGAAGGGAGUUUUUUUUUUUUUUUAAGUCUACUCUGAAUGUAUGAGAUGUAGAGAGGCUUAACGUUUAAAAACUGCAAAGAAAGAAAGAUGGUAACAUGCAUUACAUACUAAGAAAGCUACACAAAAGAGAGUAGGGUUAAAAAAAGUUAUAAAUCUCCAUAAUUUAACUAAGAUUAUCUGAUGAGAACAUCCACAAGAGAUGCUAGCUGCCUCUUUGCAAAGUAAUUCUCAGCCAGAGACCUCAGUAUUUGGAGAGAUGGCCUGUCUAUUCCCCAGGGAUCCUAGACCACCCACAUUAAAGGAGAAUAGUUGAUAACCUCAUCAUUAGAAGCAAGGCUUCGUUGAGCCACCAUAGGACCUUUACACUUGCCUUUUCUUGGAGGACUCCCUUCUUCCUCCCUUCACUACUCUCCAUUUCCUGCUUGUCGUUACUCUAAUUACUCUUACUGUUAUUUUGCGAUGGUUGGUCUGGAGGACCUUCAAAAUCCCUUCCAACCCUCUGAGUCCACAAUUCUCUACUUCUGCUUUCAGAAGUACUCCCUACUGUUGCCUUUACUGGGAUCUGAGGUCCAGGGAAUAGUGUAGCGGUAUGUGAUGGGCACAGGGAUCACUCACGUGAUAGCUUGUGCACAUUGCCAUGGCUCAGCUAUCUCGCUGCUGGUGGAAAUAAUCUCGAAGAGUUGGUUCCAGGUCCAUGAAGAGGUUGCUUGGUAUCAGACAGUAGUCACCACUUGAAGCAGAAGCCAUGUUUCAAAGCAGCUGAGAGUUAUUUUAUUAAUGACAAUAAGGGUGAUGAACUAAGUAAUUUGAUGAGCACUUAAAGACAAAAUCAUAGAACCUGCCCCUGAGGAAUUCACAAACCAAAUGUGGCAAGUCUAGGUCCUACACAUUCAUAAUAAUCAUCGCUGCCUGGUACUGAGCACCUUCCAGGUGCUGGGUGCUGCUAAGCAUGUGAACUUUGCCAAGUUAUUUAAUCCUCAUAACAUCCAAAUGAAGCAAGUACUGUUGUCAUCCCCACCUUACAAAUGAGGUAGUGGAAGCCCAAAGAUUGCAUAGUUUACUGCUAUCAGUCAGCUUGUGACAGAUUGGGAUUCAAAUAAUAUAUGCUUGGAGGCACGUUACUAGGCUGCCUUCAUAAGUCCCCUUUUUGCAUCAAACAAAAUCCAUUUAAUGACUCAAGAUUGACUGCAAGAGAACUGAGGUCCCCAGAUUCACCUCACUCUGAUUUUAACACUACUUUCAAGAACUGAUGCUUGGGGCCUGCUCCUAUGAGUCCUUUCUCACCAUGUCAUCUGUGAUCCAAUCUGCUUUAACCUGUCUGUUCUCUUACCUGUCUGAACCUGCAGAUGCCCACACUGAGGGAUUCUCAGCCCUGGAAUCCUCCAUGUCUUCCCCUCACUUCACCAAUCUAUCCACAACCCUGACUGCAUCAAGCCUUCAUAGCAAUGGCAAUGUUCCCCAAAACUGACUGCAGAUGCCUGUGACCUUUGGGAUUCCCACCUGUGCUACUUGUCCUGUUCUUAAAUCAAAUGAAUGACCAAGUCAGGGAUCAUAAACCAUCUUCAAGACAAGAAGUCCUGCUCUCCAGCAUCUUGUCCCCUGAUUCUAGCAUGAUGUCUUCUUUUUAACUACUUUCUGCCCAUAGGAAGAGUCCAAUAAAAAACUUCACUUGGCCUCUA